rnacentral:tRNA from 1 species
UCUCCCAUUGUCUAGUGGUUAUGAUUUCCGCCUGUCACGCGGACGGCCCGGGUUCAAUUCCCGGUGGGAGAGCCA